UACGUAGGUGGCGAGCGUUGUCCGGAUUUACUGGGCGUAAAGGGAGCGUAGGCGGAUUUUUAAGUGAGAUGUGAAAUACUCGGGCUCAACUUGAGUGCUGCAUUUCAAACUGGAAGUCUAGAGUGCAGGAGAGGAGAAUGGAAUUCCUAGUGUAGCGGUGAAAUGCGUAGAGAUUAGGAAGAACACCAGUGGCGAGGGCGAUUCUCUGGACUGUAACUGACGCUGAGGCUCGAAAGCGUGGGGAGCAAACAGG
rnacentral:rRNA from 1 species